UCAGUAACUCAUUUUCAUGGGGAUCAAAAGGAUAUACCUAGGUGUGGUAUUUGGAAGACAAAAAAAGUUCUGCGCAUCAGUUUCAGAAUUCGCCUUCUGCGAGCUGAAAUCAUCCUCUUCUAUGGCUUGUGCUGAGGACUAAGGAGGUUCACAUAUUGAAAGUUUUAUAGAUCUGUAUAGACUUAAGGAGUGGCUGCUUGUAGUUGUAGCAUUGGCGAAAGGCAUGGAGGAUACUCUGCAAACACUUGACGACCUGAUUUCCCAGUUCCUGAGCUUAGAUCGGCCCCUCUGGUCCAGUUCUGAUGAUGCUGAUGCCUUCUUAGAAGCUGUCGAUGAGCUAACUUCCACCAUCCAUGGCCUUGAGAACACCUCAGAGGACCAUGUGCUCCUUGAGAGCUUUGACCUCCUUCUGGAAAGUUGUUCCAUGAGGCUUAAAGAUGAGUUCCAGCGCCUGAUUGCUACAUCUGGCUUGGAUGAUAACCAUCGUGACCACAAUAUCAGGAAAAGCCAAGAUGAAGAUGACAGCCACACCUUUGUAGCACCUCCAAUUAGAGACUUUGAUAUCAUUGUUGAUGCCUUACCAGAGGGUGUAGCCACUCAGGCAAAUAGAAUUGCAAGAAGGAUGAUUGCUGCUGGUUUUGGUGAUAUAUGUGCGGAGACCUAUGCUUCUGCACGCCGCAACUUCAUUGAUGAGAGCAUUGCUCGCCUUGGUGUUCAUGCUCACAUGGCAGAAAGGUUCAAGUCAACAUCAUGGGAGGAGCUUGAGACUCAGAUCAUGCGCUGGAUCCCUGCAAUCCGUGUUGUGUUUCACAUCUUAAUCCCCAGUGAGCGCCAUCUGUGCAAUUGCAUUUUUGAUGGAUUUACAUCUUACAGUGACCUUGCCUUUGCCACUGCAUGCAUGCCAUUUCUUCAACUCUUGUCAUUUGCCAGCUUUAUUGCUGCUGCUGGACAGAACCCGGAGAGUCUCUUUCGCAUCGUUGACAUGUAUGAUGCUUUAACUGAUAUCCUUACUGUCGUUGAUGAAGCCUUUCAUCAUGAGAUAACUGCUUUUCGUGAAUGCCUUGGAUUGUCAAUUGAGGGCAUAUUUGUGGCUCUAGAAAAACUGAUACGUCGUGAUUCAAGUGAGUCUUCACCAGCAGAUGGUGGAGUACAUCCCAUAACAAGGUAUGUAAUGAACUACCUUAUGGCAGCAUGUGCAUCUCGCCAUACUUUGGAAGAAGCGAUGCAAUCAGAGUUUGGUUGUACUGAAACAUGUCUGAUCAACCCUGACCGGCCAACAUCAUCGCUGGCCGUCCGCUUUGCUUGGAUUGUGGAUGUGCUCAUAGAGAAUCUUGAGUCAAAAUCCAGGAUUUAUGGUCAUGUUCCUCUCGGCUGUGUCUUUCUGAUUAACAAUGGGAUCUAUAUAACCAAGAAAGUCAAUGGUUGUGAGCUUAAGGUCUUGCUCGGUGAGGAUUGGACGAGGGUAAUAUCUUCAAAGGUUCACCAAUGGGUGUCGGAAUACCGCCGGGCUACCUGGGGGAGGGCCAUCAUGAUACUUGAGAGGGAUAUAAGGUCUGGCAGCAGUUCCAGUAUUGUGGUAGAGAAGCUGAACCACUUCCAUAACUUUGUGAAAGCGAUUUGCCAGGUGCAGUCACGGUGGGUACUGGUGGAGAAGCGGCAAGCAAUGGAUUUGAGCACUAUGGUGGAGGAUCUGGUUAUUCCAGUCUACAGGGGUGCAAUUGGGAUGUUAAAGGCAACAGAGGCUGUAGGGGCUUCAUAUGUGCGACCUGAGGAUGUGAAGUUUCAGAUUCAGCAGUUGUUCAAAGCAAUGGCCAAGUUUUGAGUGGCUGUUCUGGCUGCCGCAUGCUGAUUAGUGUUUAAUUUCUCAGGGGAGUAAUAGCUGAAGCCUUUGUAGCCUACUGUUGGUGGACGGCGUACACAGCAUGUGCUGGUUAUUGUGCAGAGUGCAGAAAUUUGGCGCAGAGCAAACAUGCGUGCUGAGCAUUGUAUGGUAGCACUUUGAUAUUGGAGUGACACCACCGUGCUGGAGUUUUUAAAUGGUUCUUGUCUCAGAUUUGUGCUGCGUAGUUCAGAUUCUAUAUCAAGCAUCCCAAUAUGGUUUUGCUCCAGUCAAGUGACAUCAAUUUUGUUUCUCAUCCCCGCUUGUUUUGUUUGAAUACAGUUUUUUUUUCCUGGUGAUAUGUCUGAUACUACACAAGCGAGUUCUUGUUCUCUCUGGAAGAAUUUAAAAAUGUCUGUAACUUUUUCCUUUUUGUCUGAAGGAAAUAUGUGCACAAGAAAACAAUGUACAGAUCAAUAUUGCUGUGAGACAAAGUAUACGCCACACACACACAACAAUGUGUGGCUGGUGUA